rnacentral:piRNA from 1 species
UGGGGCCAUUUCCCUUUGAUGCUUUGGU